GAGUUCAAGGUAAUCACGGCAAAACACAGGGUUCAGGGUUUGAGGCUUACAACCUGGGACUUUGGAUCUUUGGAUUUGAUCAGACAAAUCAGAACUCGAGCGGACAAGGGGAAUCCGACUGUUUAGUUAAAACAAAGCAUUGCGAUGGCCGCAAACGGUGCUGACGCAAUGUGGUUUCUGCCCAGUGCACUGAAUGCCAAUGUGAUGAAAUUCAAUCAAGCGCGGGUUAACGCCGGACUUAACUAUGAGGGUAGCCAAAUGCCUCGUCAAGCAGUGAGUGGCGUGCAUGAAUGGAUUAACAAGAUUCCCACUGUUCGUAUCUGCUGCCUAGCGAAAGCACAGCCAAGGGCUUGGUGGAAUCAGUGGGGAAAGAUGACCUUGUUGAGCUUGACGCUAGUCUGACUUUGUUGAACGCCUUGGGGGCUGUACGCUUUAGGAUUUGCGCUAUGUGCACGAGCUCCGACCAGAUUUUCCACGCACGCUGAAAGGUACUAGGGUUCCAGGCUUUAGGGUUUAGGGUACACGCAAGCCGUCGAACCUCUGCGGGACGGAAAGACUUAGCUGCGGUAGCCGGGAGGCCGGGAAGCAAAAUAUGGAGAAGGUGGCCCAGGGCGGUUUCAGUUGUUUGAAGAUGUUGUGGUAACGGAGGGGUGAAAACGAAAUUCCAUGGCAUGAAGACUCUCCCGCCUCUCAUCUACCUUUCUCCUUGUUUGCCUCUGGCUGUACCCUUUUCAUUGCCUAUGCUUUCUCUCCUUGUUCAGGCCCCUGACAGAGCAGGAAUCCUGAAGUUCGUGUUGCGGCACGCCAGGCUGGGCUACAGCUCGCUGCUGAUACGUGAGUAGGACACUCUGGUGUAUAUACUAUUGCUGGCGAACAUGCAUAUUCAUGGUAGUAGCGCACUGCAAUUGCGACGCUGUACAUCUUGUUUGCAGUGUGCACGCUCGAUCCAUGUGCACUCCCUCCACAUAUGCGCAUACUGGGUUCGUUACAGAUAAUAUCGUAUAUUUUACCAAGCCGCACUGUGCAUACGUACGUUGUAUGCUCACGGUGGUUGUAUAUAUUGUGGAUUCUCAAAAGCACACAGAUGAAACUGUUGAGGCUGGUUGCAGUGGGAUUGAAGUAUAUAUAUAUAUAUAUAUAUAUAUAUAUAUAUA
rnacentral:ncRNA from 1 species